AACAAAACCAGUGAAGAGAUGCUGCUGGGCAGCAAUGAUUAAGUCAGAAGAAAAGACAAAGACAAAACGUUAAUGAGGAUGUGGAGAAACAGGACCCUUCCAAUGAGCUCCAUUUUCCAGAAAUACAAGCAAAACAAUGCCCCCAGGGAGCUCUGGGUUGCGGGCUGGCACUUGGGCGGGAAUGGAGUGGAGUCAUUUCAUGAAGCUGUCAGUGGCCUCCUAGGUAACCUGCAAGGGCCGCCCAGAUUCAUGCCAACAGGGGAGAUCAGGCUGGCAUUCAGGUCCUGACACUUAUCCAGAUCAGACUGGAAAAUUCGGGAGAGGGCUACAGAAUGCAAUCUCUUUCUCCUCGGAAACAUACAAGCUAGGGUGGGAGAAAGAGGGGUCAGUCAUGGCGUGUUGGCACCUUAAUCCCCGCGCCCUGCCUCCCAUUCUUCCCAGGAGGAAAGGAAGAGAGCGGAUACGAGGGAGGUCCUUGGGUCUGGGACCUCUGGCGCUUUGAACAUGCUCCUGGACCCCAUGCCAGGAUGCUCCCUGCCUCAGAAUCCUCAUCCACGCCAUGGGAGGGAGCCCUGCCCCAGCCUCCCCUGCCGGCCGGGUUACUGAAAUACGAAGGCCUGUGAGUUCACAAUGCAGGUAGUGGGCUGAACCAUGAGGAAGAGUUUGCUGGGCUGCUUUGAGGUUUGACCUAUUUAUUUUUCUGCAGGAGCUUUUUUGGAAACUCUCUUUGUGAAGGUUUUUCCUUCCUUCUUCCUUUCUUCCCUCUGACUUUGACGUCAGCCACAAAAGCUAGCGUGGGCAGAAUUUGGGCGUUUCGAGGACACUGCAGGGCGAGGAGUCCGUUCCUGGCCCUUCCUCUCUCCCGGGCUCUGGUCUCUGCAAGAGGCUCCCUGAAGUCCCAGGAUGAAGGACAAGGUUCUCCAUCGUCUGAUCCCCAGUUGUCUCACUUUCUGGCCCCUCUUUGCCGCAGCCCAGAUCCAGGGUCCCAAGCAGAAGCCUCAGGACCCAGGAUUUGUCCAGGGCCACCUAGGCCCAAGACUUGAUCAGAUUUCCCCAGUUCAUCACUCAAAAAAACAAAAAACAAAACAAACAAACAAACAAAAAAAAAACUUUGUGUCUACAAAGAGUGCCCCCAACAGAACAUUCAGGAGGCAAUAAAGAGUUGUUCAUGGAAAGAGACUCUGGUCACCAGCUUCACAUCCCCUAAAAUUUUCCCUACCUGGCUGACAGCUCUCAGAAUUUACCAUUUGCACUAGAAGCAAACAAGGAAAAUGAAUGCAGCCAGGAAUAUCCCAUUAAGAUGUAUGAGUCAUUUAUGCCUCAGUGUGGAUGAGAUACUCAGAGCCUUUCUUGGGGUAGCAUGUGAGAAGAUUCCAGCAGCCGGCCACCUACGAUGGAGACCUCUUAGGGAGAAGAGGGCCCAGGCAGGACAGGCACCACCACAAAACCUGUCUCAAAAAAUCCUCCUCCUGUUUGUCCUUUGAAAAGCGGAGUCCAUUUGAAGAUGCUCUCCUUCUCCCAUGGGAAACCUCUGAGAUGCUCCAGAGAAAACAGGACACAAGGGUACCUGAGCUGGAAGCCGAGGACGGAGGUUGUCGUGGUCUUCCAAAGAAGGUUCUGAAAGAAGAAGAUUGGACUGCAUGGGAAUCCAGGGAUUUAUGCGACUCGAUCCUGCAUUUGUAAAAACAGUGUUAUUAUUCCUAGCCAUCUGACAGGGUCAUCAUGCAAGUCCCAGAAGUACUGUCUGUGGAAGUGAUUUGAAAAUGGCAAAGGGCUAAGAGGUGUCUCUUUUGGAGAAGCAGCCUGUGGCUGGGAGGUCACUGGGAUUGGACUUUAACAGUUGGGGAAGCCAUGUGCGUGCCUCCUCAGAGCCUCGGUUUUAUCACCUGGGAAGUGGAAACGAUAAUACCCACCUCUUAGGCUUUGAAAGUGGGAAUUAGACAUAAUGUGCAUAAAAUUAUUGCAUAAGCAAUAA